rnacentral:rRNA from 1 species
GUUUGAAUCUUUGGCAAAUCCGGGAUUCUUCAAGACCGAGCACCGAGACGAGCCUUUAAGGCGAAGUCACUGAUACCACGCUUCCAGGAAAAGCUCCUAAGCUUCAGCUUACGCAGACCGUACCGUAAACCGACACAGGUGGGUAGGAUGAGAAUUCUCAGGCGCUUGAGAGAACUCGGGUGAAGGAACUAGGCAACAUGGCACCGUAACUUCGGGAGAAGGUGCGCCCUUUUUGGUGGCUCAUGCGAGCUAUAGCUGAAGAGGGCCGCAGAAACCAGGCCGCUGCGACUGUUUAUCAAAAACACAGCACUCUGCAAACACGAAAGUGGACGUAUAGGGUGUGACGCCUGCCCGGUGCUGGAAGGUUAAUUGAUGGGGUCAGCCGCAAGGCGAAGCUCUUGAUCGAAGCCCCAGUAAACGGCGGCCGUAACUAUAACGGUCCUAAGGUAGCGAAAUUCCUUGUCGGGUAAGUUCCGACCUGCACGAAUGGCGUAACGACAGCGGCGCUGUCUCCACCCGAGACUCAGUGAAAUUGAAAUCGCUGUGAAGAUGCAGCGUUCCCGUGGCAAGACGGAAAGACCCCGUGAACCUUUACUAUAGCUUUACACUGAACGUUGAGUUCGUCUGUGUAGGAUAGGUGGGAGGCUAUGAAACUGUGGCGCUAGCUGCAGUGGAGCCAUCCUUGAAAUACCACCCUGUCGUGCUUGACGUUCUAACCUGGGUCCAUAAUCUGGAUCGGGGACCGUGUAUGGUGGGUAGUUUGACUGGGGCGGUCUCCUCCUAAAGAGUAACGGAGGAGCUCGAAGGUACGCUCAGCGCGGUCGGACAUCGCGCACUGUGUGCAAAGGCAUAAGCGUGCUUGACUGCAAGAUCGACGGAUCAAGCAGGUAGGAAACUAGGACUUAGUGAUCCGGUGGUUCUGUAUGGAAGGGCCAUCGCUCAACGGAUAAAAGGUACUCCGGGGAUAACAGGCUGAUACCGCCCAAGAGUUCAUAUCGACGGCGGUGUUUGGCACCUCGAUGUCGGCUCAUCACAUCCUGGGGCUGUAGUCGGUCCCAAGGGUAUGGCUGUUCGCCAUUUAAAGUGGUACGCGAGCUGGGUUCAGAACGUCGUGAGACAGUUCGGUCCCUAUCUGCCAUGGGCGUUGGAGAUUUGAGAGGGGCUGCUCCUAGUACGAGAGGACCGGAGUGGACGAACCUCUGGUGUUCCGGUUGUCACGCCAGUGGCAUUGCCGGGUAGCUAUGUUCGGAAGCGAUAACCGCUGAAAGCAUCUAAGCGGGAAGCGCGCCUCAAGAUGAGAUCUCCCGGGGCACAAGCCCCCUGAAGGAACCAUAUAGACUAUGUGGUUGAUAGGUCAGGUGUGUAAGUACAGCAAUGUAUUGAGCUAACUGAUACUAAUGAUCCGUGUGGCUUGACCAUAUAACCUCA